UCUUUGUCUGCAUUUAAAAUGUAUUCAAUAAUGUCAAGUCGAUGAGCCUCGAUAGCAAUUCCCAAAACAUGUCUCCAUUCGUUUUUAGCAUAACAUUUUUGAAAAAUGCCCUCGACUACGCCACUUAGUCUCUCGUCCAAGGGGUCAGCCUUUGGAUUUUUGUACAACUCUGCACUUUUAUGAAUAAACAUAUCAAUACAUUUGAAAAUUAGUGUUUCUUUGUAAUCACUAUUUUUGUCAUGCAAAAACUUUGGACCACUUGACAAGGCAAACAAAAGAGCCUCAUCAUAUUCUCCAAGGUAAUAAUAAACUUUUGAGACUACCAAGGCUGCUAAUUCGCGUUCAG